rnacentral:misc_RNA from 1 species
AUUUUUUAAAAAAAGAAAAAAAAACAAAAAUUCUAGAUGCUAAUUUUAAUAAAGUUUUAUUAAAUUUUUUUUAUUAAAAACAUAGGAAAAAAUUCAUCAAAAAGAAUUACAAGAAUUUAGGCUCAAAGCCCAUUUAACCCAACACCUCAGUCACACUACCAACCCAGGCCCAGAUAAAAAAAGCUAAAAGCCUAACAAUUAAAAAACCCAGGCCCAGAUAAAAAAAGGGUAGAAGCCUAACAACUAAAAGACUCAGCCCAGAUAAAUCUUUUGAUACUAUUUUCAUUUAUAUCAUUUUAAAUUUCUCAAUGGAUCAAAAUUAAACUUAUAAUCUUAGUACAAUUUGGCAAUUUUAAUCAAUAAAAUUAUGAUAAGCAGGAGAGAUUGAAAAUUAUAAUCCUAAUUUUUGUCAGCUAAUUAAAAUUGGAAAUACAAUUAUAGUCAAUUGCAUGAAUCUGCAACUAAUUGGAUGGAAUUGC